rnacentral:rRNA from 1 species
UACAGAGGGGGCAAGCGUUAUUCGGAAUUAUUGGGCGUAAAGCGUGCGCAGGCGGCUUUGCAAGACAGAUGUGAAAUCCCCGGGCUUAACCUGGGAACUGCAUUUGUGACUGCAUGGCUGGAGUGCGGCAGAGGGGGAUGGAAUUCCGCGUGUAGCAGUGAAAUGCGUAGAUAUGCGGAGGAACACCGAUGGCGAAGGCAAUCCGCUGGGCCUGUACUGACGCUCAUGCACGAAAGCGUGGGGAGCAAACAGG